rnacentral:lncRNA from 1 species
CCCCGGAUAGUGGGAGUUAGAAUAUUAAAGCUUCCCAGGAUAGUGGGAGUUAGAAUAUUAAAGCUUCCCAGGAUAGUGGGAGUUAGAAUAUUAAAGCUUCCCAGGAUAGUGGGAGUCAGCUGUGAGAAUAUUACCCAGUUCACAUUUUAAGGUAAGAGACAAAAAACGUGUCUGUUAAUGUUAAAAAGAACAUCACUGGUUUACACUCACUCUAUGUCGGAAAAUGUUUCAUUGCCACCAGAGUGCAAAGUAGCCUAUUGUUGGGCUAAGUCUUGUUUAUUUAUUUUCAUGAAGAGGCUAAAACAGAAAGGCUAGCCAAUACCUAACGUACCUAAUCCGUAUAAUAACACAUGAAUAUGUAGGAUCAUAAUUAGGAAAUGCAAAAUCUUUCGUUUUUUAUUCAAAUAUGGACUGGAAUGAAAAAACAAUAUGUAGAAUAUAAAGGGUGAUAGACGUGAAAAUGUGAACUUCGGAGUGGUGUGGGCAAUCAAUUUAAUAGGUGCACACACCAAUAAAGCUUUCCCAUUUGUUUGACAUUGUCAAGACUACUGCUGUUUAGGCAUGCGGUUGCGCUUGCAGGGUUUGGUGUCAAGGUGUUUGUGAGUGAGUGUGAGCGGCCUGUGCAGAUCAAAUUUUGCUGCAUAUUUUGGAAAAUGAGCAUAAGUUCAUACACUUACUACUUCCACAUUUCUAGGAUAUUAGUAGUCCAUGAUGGGUGUUAGUAGUCCACGAGGGGUGUUAGUAGUCCAUGAUGGGUAUUAGUAGUCCACGAGGGGUGUUAGUAGUCCACGAGGGGUGUUAGUAGUCCAUGAUGGGUAUUAGUAGUCCACGAGGGGUAUUAGUAGUCCACGAUGGGUAUUAGUAGUCCACGAUGGAUAUUAGUAGUCCACGAGGGGUGCUAGUAGUCCACGAGGGGUGUUAGUAGUCCACGAUGGGUAUUAGUAGUCCACGAGGGGUGUUAGUAGUCCACGAGGGGUGUUAGUAGUCCAUGAUGGGUAUUACUAGUCCACGAGGGGUGCUAGUAGUCCACGAGGGGUGUUAGUAGUCCACGAGGGGUGCUAGUAGUCCACGAGGGGUAUUAGUAGUCCAUGAUGGGUAUUAGUAGUCCACGAGGGGUGCUAGUAGUCAUUGAUGGAUAUUAGUAGUCCACGAUGGGUGUUAGUAGUCCACGAGGGGUGUUAGUAGUCCAUGAUGGGUAUUAGUAGUCCACGAGGGGUAUUAGUAGUCCACGAGGGGUGUUAGUAGUCCACGAGGGGUGUUAGUAGUCCAUGAUGGGUGUUAGUAGUCCACGAUGGGUAUUAGUAGUCCACGAUGGAUAUUGGUAGUCCAUGAGGGGUGCUAGUAGUCCACGAUGGAUAUUAGUAGUCCACGAGGGGUGCUAGUAGUCCACGAGGGGUGUUAGUAGUCCAUGAUGGGUAUUAGUAGUCCACGAGGGGUGCUAGUAGUCCACGAGGGGUGUUAGUAGUCCACGAGGGGUGUUAGUAGUCCACGAGGGGUGUUAGUAGUCCACAAGGGGUGUUAGUAGUCCACGAGGGGUGCUAGUAGUCCACGAGGGGUGUUAGUAGUCCACGAGGGGUGUUAGUAGUCCACGAGGGGUGUUAGUAGUCCACGAGGGGUGUUAGUAGUCCACGAUGGAUAUUAGUAGUCCAUGAUGGGUAUUAGUAGUCCACGAGGGGUGCUAGUAGUCCAUGAUGGGUAUUAGUAGUCCACGAGGGGUGUUAGUAGUCCAUGAUGGGUGCUAGUAGUCCAUGAUGGGUAUUAGUAGUCCAUGAUGGGUGUUAGUAGCCCACGAUGGAUGUUAGUAGUCCACGAGGGGUGUUAGUAGUCCACGAGGGGUGCUAGUAGUCCAUGAUGGGUAUUAGUAGUCCACGAGGGGUGUUAGUAGUCCACGAGGGGUUCCACGAGGGGUGUUAGUAGUCCACGAGGGGUGUUAGUAGUCCACGAGGGGUGUUAGUAGUCCAUGAUGGAUAUUAGUAGUCCACGAGGGGUGUUAGUAGUCCACAAGGGGUGCUAGUAGUCCAUGAUGGACAUGAACCCAGCUAACAAUUCUAGGGAGAAAUAACGUUUUUAUAAUGUUCCCCGCAAUGUUCCCCUUUUGUUUGAGUGUCCAGUUCUCUGUUAGUUAGGGGAAAAUUCUAUCUAUGUUAACAGAAACCUUCUGAGAACCUUUAUAGAAUGUUUUGGUGUUACAAUUUGACAUGAACAUUCCCUUAAUGUAAAACAGAACUUAUCAAGAACAUGGUUACAAUGUUCUCAGAAUGUACAAUAUUUAUGUUCUAGAAACGUUUCAUGUGUAUCAGUUGUCGCCAUUCCCAAAGAAAUGUCUCCCCCCCAAAAAAUAAAAUUCAUUACACAUCACACCUUGUUACUGUUGCCACGCCCAUCAAGGCCCUGAUUGGCAAAGCACUGACGCAUUCAUAGCUCUUUGCCUGUCGGUUAGCGACACUCACACACAGUUCUUUUGACAUACAGUAUUUUCAACUGACAUAUUCGACAUACAUGAUUACAUUCUGCAUUUUUAUUUAUCCGAAAAUGAUUGUUCAACAUGUCCUCUCCUGGGAUUUGAAAUCACAACUGCUUGGUUUGCAGGACUCCGAUGUUCCUGCUACGCCACCAUGUCUGUGUAAGUUGUCAGUUCAUUUGACUGUAAUUACGCUGUGUGAUUAAGAACUUCCUGGACAUUGUGGAGAUGCAUAAUAUAUCUUAUUUACUUUUUAUUUCGAGAAUCAGCUUUAAUUUAAGGCCACUUGAAGUGCAAAUGCCGAACAAUUGUGGUAAAUCUCUGGUAAUGCUCCAAAGCCUCUUGGGACAGCUUUAUGUAGAGGCCCUAACAGCUUUAUGUAGAGGCCCUAACAGCUUUAUGUAGAGGCCCUAACAGCUUUAUGUAGAGACCCUAACAGCUUUAUGUAGAGGCCCUAACAGCUUUAUGUAGAGGCCCUAACAGCUUUAUGUAGAGGCCCUAACAGCUUUAUGUAGAGGCCCUAACAGCUUAAUGUAGAGGCCCUAACAGCUUUAUGUAGAGGCCCUAACAGCUUUAUGUAGAGGCCCUAACAGCUUUAUGUAGAGGCCCUAACAGCUUUAUGUAGAGGCCCUAACAGCUUUAUGGAGGCCCUAACAGCUUUAUGUAGAGCUAACAGCUUUAUGUAGAGGCCCUAACAGCUUUAUGUAGAGGCCCUAACAGCUUUAUGUAGAGACCCUAACAGCUUUAUGUAGAGGCCCUAACAGCUUUAUGUAGAGGCCCUAAAAGCUUUAUGUAGAGGCCCUAACAGCUUUAUGUAGAGGCCCUAACAGUUUUAUGUAGAGGCCCUAACAGCUUUAUGUAGAGGCCCUAACAGCUUUAUGUAGAGGCCCUAACAGCUUAAUGUAGAGGCCCUAACAGCUUUAUGUAGAGGCCCUAACAGCUUUAUGUAGAGGCCCUAACAGUUUGUCACCAUUAUAGUGUAAUUCAUGUAUUGUUUAGUGUUGUGUUGUGUAGUGGCUUUGCUGGCAUGCAUCUAAAACAUUUUUGGGGAGUUUGCCCCACCAAGAUUUACACUGAUUUAGCAUGUAUAUUAAACUAUGGUGAAUCGCUGUAUGGUAAUGUUUCAAUGCUGUAUGUCCCAUCAGUGCCACGUCUGUUUGGAGCCCCACCUGUUUAGCAAAACAAUAUAUAUGUUUUGCCUUUUUUUUAAUGUUAUUUUAUCACAUAUCAGUUUGCAAACAAUGUACAAAAAAAAAAGUUAAUAAAGACGUAUA